rnacentral:lncRNA from 1 species
GGAAACUGCUGGCUUGAAGGUAGGGGUUUCUAGCCGCAUCAAUGAAUGGCUAACUAAAACCCCAGAUGGAAACAAGUCACCUGCUCCCAAACCUUCUGACUUGAGACCAGGAGACGUAUCCAGCAAGCGGAACCUCUGGGAAAAGCAAUCUGUGGAUAAGGUCACUUCCCCCACUAAGGUUUGAGACAGUUCCAGAAAGAACCCAAGCUCAAGACGCAGGACGAGCUCAGUUGUAGAGGGCUAAUUCGCUCUGUUUUGUAUUUAUGUUGAUUUACUAAAUUGGGUUCAUUAUCUUUUAUUUUUCAAUAUCCCAGUAAACCCAUGUAUAUUAUCACUAUAUUUAAUAAUCACAGUCUAGAGAUGUUCAUGGUAAAAGUACUGCCUUUGCACAGGAGCCUGUUUCUAAAGAAACCCAUGCUGUGAAAUAGAGACUUUUCUACUGAUCAUCAUAACUCUGUAUCUGAGCAGUGAUACCAACCACAUCUGAAGUCAACAGAAGAUCCAAGUUUAAAAUUGCCUGCGGAAUGUGUGCAGUAUCUAGAAAAAUGAACCGUAGUUUUUGUUUUUUUAAAUACAGAAGUCAUGUUGUUUCUGCACUUUAUAAUAAAGCAUGGAAGAAAUUAUCUUAGUAGGCAAUUGUAACACUUUUUGAAAGUAACCCAUUUCAGAUUUGAAAUACUGCAAUAAUGGUUGUCUUUAAAAAAAAAAAAGAAAUGUACUGUUAAGGUAUUACUUUUUUUCAUGCUGAUGAUUCAUAUCUAAAUUACAUUAUUAUGUUAGCUGACAGUGGUACUGAUUUUUUAGGUUGGUUGUUUUGUGGAUUUCUUUAGUAGUGAUAGUAGCCUGAACCACAUUUUAGAUAACUCAAUUAUGUAUGUAUGUGCAUACACAUAUACAAACACACUAAUGGUAGAAUGCUUUUUUAUGUGCUAGACUAUUAUAUUUAGUAGUAUGUCAUUGUAACUAGCCAAUAUCACAGCUUUUG